rnacentral:rRNA from 1 species
UACGUAGGGGGCCAGCGUUGUCCGGAAUCAUUGGGCGUAAAGCGCGCGUAGGCGGCCAGAUAAGUCCGGUGUGAAAGUCAAAGGCUCAACCUUUGAAUGCCGCUGGAAACUGCCUGGCUUGAGUCCGGAAGGGGCGAGUGGAAUUCCUGGUGUAGCGGUGAAAUGCGCAGAUAUCAGGAGGAACACCAAUGGCGAAGGCAGCUCGCUGGAACGGUACUGACGCUGAGACGCGAAAGCGUGGGGAGCGAACAGG